GCCCGAUUAGCUUGUUGGCGGGGUAACGGCCCACCAAGGCUUUGAUCGGUAGCCGGUCUGAGAGGAUGGCCGGCCACACUGGAACUGAGACACGGUCCAGACUCCUACGGGAGGCAGCAGUGGGGAAUAUUGCGCAAUGGGCGAAAGCCUGACGCAGCGACGCCGCGUGGGGGAUGAAGCUUCUCGGAGUGUAAACCCCUUUCGACCCGGACGAAUGACCCGCAAGGGUUUGACGGUACGGGUAUAAGAAGCCCCGGCUAACUACGUGCCAGCAGCCGCGGUAAUACGUAGGGGGCCAGCGUUGCUCGGAAUUACUGGGCGUAAAGGGUUCGUAGGCGGUGCGGCAAGUUGGGAGUGAAAUCUCUGGGCUUAACCCAGAGGCUGCUUUCAAAACUGCCGUGCUCGAGUGCGAGAGAGGCCAGUGGAAUUGCAGGUGUAGCGGUGAAAUGCGUAGAUAUCUGCAGGAACACCCGUGGCGAAGGCGGCUGGCUGGAUCGCAACUGACGCUGAGGAACGAAAGCUAGGGGAGCA
rnacentral:rRNA from 1 species